CCUACGGAGGCAGCAGUGGGGAAUAUUGGACAAGGGGCGAAAGCCUGAUCCAGCCAUGCCGCGUGUGUGAAGAAGGCCUUCGGGUUGUAAAGCACUUUCAGUGGGGAAGAAAGCCUUGGGGCUAAUACCCUCGAGGAAGGACAUCACCCACAGAAGAAGCACCGGCUAACUCCGUGCCAGCAGCCGCGGUAAUACGGAGGGUGCGAGCGUUAAUCGGAAUUACUGGGCGUAAAGCGCGCGUAGGCGGUCUGAUAAGCCGGUUGUGAAAGCCCCGGGCUCAACCUGGGAACGGCAUCCGGAACUGUCAGGCUAGAGUGCAGGAGAGGAAGGUAGAAUUCCCGGUGUAGCGGUGAAAUGCGUAGAGAUCGGGAGGAAUACCAGUGGCGAAGGCGGCCUUCUGGACUGACACUGACGCUGAGGUGCGAAAGCGUGGGUAGCAAACAGGAUUAGAUACCCGGGUAGUC
rnacentral:rRNA from 1 species